rnacentral:lncRNA from 1 species
GUAGAGAUAGAUAUGUAUUUUUACGUGACGCGGCGUCGGUAGACGCAGGGGGAGAGGUAUGUGUGUGCAUGCAUCCAAGGAAUGCAUGCAGAUGAGAGAACCUCGUUGGUUUCGUACUUCGAUCGGGUUGACGAAUGGCCAAACGAGCGGUCCGUUGAAUUCCGCGGCAAGGAGCUCGAGAAAGUCUCCGGUCUCUUCCUCUUCCUCCAGAGUCUCACUGGCUUCGUGUUUCGCGUCAUCCCCCGCGAUUUUCCGGUCUUCUCGCGCGACGGCCGCGCCGAGCCACGACAGGAGCGCCACAUUUCGCAAGUCACGCUCUCUUACAUCGUCCGACUUGCCUGUGAGACGCGCGACGUCCGGUGGCAAAACGAAACUCCCGUCGUCUUCUUGAGGGCCGCCGCAGCGUUCUCGCCAAGAGGGCCGAGCAGACGGACGUUCCGUCUCCUCGUCAGAAGAAGGAAUGAGUGACCGUGUCCAACCGAAAUCAGCGGCAUCGCCGCCCGUGGAUUUGCCUGUUCCACGUCGAGCGGCCGACGCGUAUCUUGCGACGCCUCUCCCCACCGUCUCUCGGCCACUGUUUCCCUCGCGCGCACCUGCUUCCCGUUUUUCUCCUGCUUCGCCUGCUGCAGUUUCUGCUGGCGCGUCACGGUUUGCCUGCGCGGCUGUUUCCAGUCGCCGGGCGUCUCGCGCGCUGCCUUGGCGUGAGUUGCGCAGCUUUCCUUCGCGCGUCGUUCCGCCGUUUGGGUCUCCGGCGGGGCGAAGAGGGCGACUUGCCUGCUGCUCGAGCAGCCGCUGCCUCGCUGCGUUCGCGAGGAUGUCCUCAGCUCUCAGACCGUCCUCGUUCACCAAGGAAGGAUCUCCGCCGUGCUGGAGCAACAACAGAAAGAGACGCAGAUCUUCACGCGCCGCCGCAACGUGCAACGGCCGCGUUCGGCCCGCAGGUUUGUGCCGCGGGGGGGGACACCAGGAAGAAGCCUCGCAGGCCGUGGCGUGAGACGACGCAGAAAGAGAGCACGAAAAGGAACAAGAGAGUGACGGAGAGAAAGGAGAGGAAGGCGACGAAUAACAAGAAGGAAGAGACGACGUGCCUUCGGGUGUAUCUGGGGCGUUGUUUCUUCUUGAAGACGAUUCGUUGACCAGCGAGGCAGCAGAGGAAGACGAACGAGAAGAAGUCUCCGGAGGGGAGAGAAAGGAGAAAAACUCUCGAGGAAAAGAGACAUUCGGGUCUGCGCCUCGAGCAAGAAGGAGCGCCGCCGCCUCGACGUUCCCACAAAGGCACGCCUGGACCACAAUCGAGACACAGUCGCAGGCCGGGGGACAUAAAGGGGACAGGACUCGCCGGCGACACCACGACUGAUCUGCCCGGAAAGAACGCCCGCAGGAAUCUCUCACGGCAUCUGUGACGCCCACGCCAGGGAAAUCGGGUUUGCGACUACGCCUGCCGAUCAGGUGCAUCCACCUACCAGGCGCUGAUCUAUCUGCAACUAUGAAUCUAAAUAGCCGGGCAAGAGAGGGUGACCUGGAGAAGAAGAAACGAGAGCUCGGCCGUGGCCUGAAUCCUCGCGAGGUGCUGUACUAGAGGCAGGCGCGUUCGCAAGUCGUCGACGUCUAGGCGAGACGCGUCCAGUCCUAGAGCCGGAAGCGCCGCGAGCCUGCAACAAGAAGAAAAAGAACCGAACGCUCUGCCGUUUCCCUGCUCAUUUCCGGUGAAGCGGGGCGAACGGUUCCUACGGUCGGAUGUGCCUGGCGUAGAACGCGCGGAGCGCCUCGAUACUCCGCUCGCCCGCAAAGGCCGCCGAUUCGCGCCGAAAGAGAAAGGCGACGACCGAGUCGGCAACCGCGACGCGUGCAAGCUGAAGAAACCGCGCAGCGCCCGAGGGAGACAACAGGGCCUUCGUGACGGCGAGGAGGAGAUCGGGAAGGUGGCGGCUGCAUGCGCGAAACGCCGGGAGAUUCGCGAAAAAAAGCAGAGGACGGGAAUGGCAAGCAAUGGGGAAGUCAAGAGACAACCACGCGGCAAAAGAAGCGAGAGGCUGACCCUUUCCCGGCUUCGUAGCAACACCAAAAAGAGGCGACGAGACGAACUAAGAGAAGAGCGUUCGUUUGCAGACGAAACCUUUUUCUUCGAUCCUCUCUUGCCUCGUUCUAGAUCUCUCGCUCUGCUGCGCUUUGUCCGUGUGUGGAGCUUUUCUCGGCGUCAGUUUCUCAAGUUGGAUACACCCCGAGAGCAAACAACGCGAGAACGUUCCAAUCCUUUUCACACGCCUCGCCAUGCUUGCUAAAACGUUUCUCGC